rnacentral:rRNA from 1 species
UUGGUUUUUAAAUAUGUAUUACUUGAGUAGUAAUUGGUAUGAUCUUGAAACUUAAAUAAUUUGGCGGUAUUUUAGUCUAUUUAGAGGAAUUUGUUUCGUUAUCGAUGGUCCACGUUGAACCUAACUUUAAUUUUUGUAAUAUGUAUACCGCCGUUUAGAGAAUCUUUUUAGAGUUUUAAUUUCUUAAUAUUUUAUUAAAUUAUAUUUCAGGUCAAGGUGCAGUUUAAUAUUAAAGUGAAAAUGAAUUACAAUAUAAAAAUAUAUUACGAAUUAUUAAUUGAAAUUUUUAUAUGAAGGGGGAUUUAAUAGUAAUAUUAUAAAGAUUAUUAGUGUGAUUAUUUUGGCUCUAAAAUAUGU